rnacentral:lncRNA from 1 species
GAUUCCUUGAGAACCUUGUGACCCUAGCACCUCAAGUGUGAUGCCUCAAAUGUCUCACACAACACUACAACACUUGGAAUAACCUUGAGAGAAGUUCACUAACACCUCAAAAUUGGAUAGCCCUCUAUCUUGUAUAAGUAGUGCCGAUUUUGCUAGACUAGGGGUCUUUAUAUAGUUUUGGCACAAGUAGGGUUACAUCAUGUAAACCCUAAUUGUCAUGGCUUUCCAUAUUCCAUGAUCCAUGAUUUUGUAACUCCACGGAUUAUCCAUGGAGCACCUUAUGGUUUUUAAACUAAUCCAUACAAACCGUGGAUCAUUAGCCCACUAUACAAGAAUAGACGAUUUACAAAAUCAACCCCAUAUAUUUAAUUAGUCUCUUUUUGAUCAUUUAAUUAAUUCCAAAUUAAUUCUUUGAUCAAUACUAAUUAAAUAAUAUUAUUAAUAUAUUAGAACUUAUAAUAUAUUAAUAAACCUUAAGUGUCCUUUCUCUCAUUUUAGUUUAUCCAAGUGUUGCAAUGCCAUGCAACCCAAAUGGACCAUGUUAAUAGGGUCAAGUACAUUCCAGAAAUGUUUAUGAACUUAGACACCUAAUCCAAUAGUCUCCUACUUGGAUAAGUCUAAUAACUAUAACUGCAAGAAUGACUUCAGGAACCGAUCAACAAUCGUAGCUCUUUCAAGGUCUCGCGGAACUAAGAUGAUGAUGAUACGCCAUUUAAGAUAAGUGAUCAUAUAAUCCUCUGUUCUAGAUACCAGCCGGACAAAUACAUGGAACAAUGUCUUACUUAUUGUCCAGCAAUUUGUUUCUCGAUUUCCGAUUUGUAUGACAUAGAACAUAAUUGAACACAUCAACUUAGUUCUGACCGGGCCCGAUACAUGGGUCAAUAUAAAAACAUCGAGGGGUGCAGAUAUCGCUUCUAAUCCAAGAAAGAACAGAUAAACUUCGACUCAUAUGCUUGUUCUACUACUUGUUGAAUUAUACACACAGACACGUUUUAUAACAUCGAAUUACCAAUGUGUUUUCGUACAAUCAAUGUAUAACAAUCUCAUAGGCAAUAAGUCAUAUAUCUAGGUUUCAAGACUUAUAGAUAUUACCGUCUCACAAUCACUCGAGAUAGAUUCCAUGAAGUGAUACCAGUGAGCGUGGGUUGAAUCCAAUACUCAGAACUUAUGAGCACUCAUGAGUGUUGUAGCAACACUUUGCAAUGUCCAACACUUUAGAUAUCUACAACCAACUACAUGACAGUCUUGAUUUAUAUCUACUUGCAACAUAUGACCGACUGUGGAGAAUUUGAAUAAUAUGUAAUACAAUAACAUAAUUAUUCUGGAAGUCAAAACAUGCAAAAUUGAAAUGACAGUAAAUCAUUGACAAAAGAUAGCAACACUUUACUCAUAAAUAAACACAACUUUUAUUCAUUAUCAUAUGUUAAUUACACUUUACACAUUUCAAAGCUAUCUAACUACUAAAACUAAUAUCAUCAUUCAUCUCUAUGUGCCUCGCAUGCUGGAGACGCUUAACCCUACUCAAUCCCUUUGUGAGGGGAUCUGUCGGGUUCUCAUCCGAUGAUACCCUCUUUGCCAUGAGGAGUUCUUCUUCUAUUCGAUGUCUAAUGAAAUCGUAUUUUCUGUCGAUGUGUCUAGAUCUCUUGUGGUCCUUUGGUUCCUUUGCUAAGGCAACUGCACUUUCACUAUCACAAGAAAUCUCUAAAGGCUUCUUUAUAGCUGGUACAACUACAAGGUCUCCAAUGAAGUUCUUUAGCCAUAUACCCUCCUUUUCUGCCUCGCUUGUCGCUAUAUACUCUAAUUCGCAAGUUGAAUCAACCACUGUCUCCUGCUUGGAACUUUUCCAAGAAAUUGCUCCUCCGUUUAAGGUAAAGACCCAGCCUGACCGAGAGAGGAAAUUAUCCCUAUCAGUUUGAAAGCUAGCAUCACUAUACCCUAAUACUCUAAAGUCAUCACUCCCAUCGAGGGUAAGGACCCAAUCCUUAGUCCUCUGCAGGUACUUGAGAAUGUUCUUUACCGCAGUCCAGUGAGCCUUGAUAGGGUUCCCCUGAUAUCUGCUGACCAUGCUCAGUGCAAAGGCCAUAUUAGGAUGAGUAUAAGCCAUAGCAUACAUGAUCGAGCCUACAACGGAAGCAUACGGUACUCGACUCAUCUCUGCUAUCUCAGCCUCUGUACUCGGGCUCUGAUUCUUACUUAGUUUGGCGUUACUAUGCAUCGAUAACUCUCCUUUCUUGGAAUUCUGCAUGCUAAAUCUAUUAAGCACCUUCUCUAAGUAGGUACUCUGACUAAGUUAAAUUAGUCUUUUACUCCUGUCUCUCAAAAUUCUUAUCCCUAGGAUAUAGGCAGCUUCUACAAGGUCCUUCAUAGUGAAACACUUCCCAAGCUAGGACUUCACUUCCUGCAGAGUUGGCAUGUCAUUUCCUAUGAGUAGUAUGUCAUCGACAUACAAUACCAGAAAGCUGACUAUACUCCCAGUAGCCUUGACAUAUACACAAGAUUCAUCUUCACUCCUCGAAAAUCCAAACUCUUUGACUUACUCAUCGAAACUAAGAUGCCAUAUGCGAGGUUCUUGCUUUAAUCCAUAGAUGUUUUUAUCAAGCUUACACACUCUAUUAGGGUAUUUUGUACCGGCAAAACCAUUUGGUUGACUCAUGUAAACAUCCUCAGCCAGCUUUCCACUAAGGAAAGCGGUUUUGACAUCCAUUUGUCAUAUUUCAUAAUCAUGAAAUGCAGCAAUGGCUAACAUAACCCUAAUAGACUUAAUCUUCGCUACUGGUGAAAAGGUCUCAUCAUAAUCAACUCCCGGAGUUUGAGAAAAGCCCUUUACAACCAGUCGCGACUUAUAAGUGUGUACAUUACCAUCCAUUUUGGUCUUCUUCUUGAAGAUCCAUUUGCACCCAACUGUCUUACGACAUGGUACAUUGUCAGCCAAGUUCCAAACUUGAUUGUCAUACAUGGACUGUACCUCACUGUCCAUAGCCUCUUUCCAUUUAACAACCUCAGGGCCUGCCAUAGCUUCUGUGUAACUGUUAGGUUCAUCCAAACUUACCAGUGUGCUAUCACUUAUAAGUGUAUCACCUUCCAUAGUAAUAUGGAAACCAUAGUAAUGCUUAGGUGCAUUCCUAACGCUCGUGGAAUGCCUCAGAGGUACAGAUUCUUCUGUCGGAUCAACAGGAGUUUCCUCCUCUGGUUGAUUGCUAAGGUUUGAGGUUCCUUCACCACUUGACUCUUGAAUUUCUUCAAGGUCAAUUUGCUUCCCACUCUUUCCUUGGCUCAUGAAAUCUCUCUCGCGAAAGACUACUCUCCUUGCUACAAAGACCACAUUAUCACUAGGUCUGUAGAAGAGGUAACCAAAGGAUCUUUAUGGGUAGCCGAUGAAAAUACACCUCUCACUUCGAGGUUCGAGCUUAUCGUGAGACUCACGCUUCAUGAAAGACUCGCAACCCCAAAUCUUGAUGUGUUCCAGAUUGGGAACUUCUCCGGACCACAUCUCAUGAGGUGUUUUGGCAACCAUCUUUGUAGGGACUAGAUUAAGGAUAUGGUCGGCAGUCUUUAAGGCAUACCCCUAGAAUGAGAUUGGUAGCGAAGCUCGACUCAUCAUGGAAUGAACCAUAUCCAACAAGGUUUGAUUGCGCCUCUCAACCACACCAUUAAGCUGUGGUGACCUGGGAGGUGUCAAUUGUGAGAUAAUCCCACAUUCCUUAAGAUAGUUAACGAACUCUGUACUAAGAUACUCACCUCAAUCGGAUCGAAGCAUCUUAAUGUUCAUGUCAAACUAAUUCUCCACUUCCUGUUUGAACUCUUUGAAUCUUUCAAAGGUAUCUGACUUAUGAUUGAUUAAGUGGAAAAAUCCAUAUCUACUAAAAUCAUCAGUAAAAGUCACAUAGAAUCGGUUAGCAUCUCUUGUGGCGGUUCUGAAGGGUCCACAUACAUCAGUAUGUAUGAGGUCCAACAAACCCUCACCCCAAGCACAAGUACCAAUGAAGGUUGACUUUGUCAUUUUCCCAAGAAAACAAGAUUCACAACUAUCAUCUGACUUUAGGUCGAAUGACUCCAAUACUCCAUCCUUUUGGAGUUGGCCUAUGCAUUUCUUUCUUACAUGUCCAAGACGACAAUGCCAUAAUGAUGCUUUAUCCAAACUAGUGGAAGAAUCGAUACACAAUACAUUAUUUCCUAGGUUAUCAACAACCUACACAGUUUCAUAUACACCAUCACAAGGUAAUGCUUUAAAAUAAAAAAAAGUUAUUAAAGAAAUCAUUAAUACCACCCGUUUCAUUAUCAAACGAAAAGGUAAAACCUUGUUGGUACAAACCAUGAAAGGAAAUAAUAUUUCUCGCCAUUUCAGAUGAGUAACAACACUUAUUCAAAUCUAACACUAAUCCAAUACUUAGCGAUAAAGUAUAAACUCCAAUCUUGGUGACAGGUGAAGCUUUCCUAUUCCCCAUGAUCAAGUUUAUCUUACCAUGCUCCACAUUCUCAGUUCUUCUUAGUCCUUGUAAAUCAGUACAUAUGUGAAUACCACAACCUGUAUCAAGGACCCAAGAAUUAGAAUGGGGUGAAUUAUUAGACAAUAUAGUGUAUGUAUCCGCAUGGUUGGGUUUUACUUUCCCAUCCUUCACAUCUUGCAUUCUCUUUGGGAAGUUUCGCUUCUAGUGCGACUUUUCAUGGCAAUAGAAGCAUUUAGCCUCUUUAGGGUUAACAGAAGGAGUGACGAAACCUUUCUUGGUUCCACUUGAAGAGGAGCCAUCAAGAGACUUUCCCUUGGUACCCUUCGAAGGGCUCUUCCUCUUCUUUCCUUUUCCUUGCCCAAUUGCCAAGAUAGGGGCCGCGGUAGGAGUACGAGUGGUAAUAACCGAUUUAUUCUUAAGACCACUUUAUGUGGUCUUCAAGAGUCCUUGAAGUUUGCUAAGUGUAACUUCAUCCUUGUUCAUGUGGUAUGUCAUAUGGAAUUAAUCAUAAGACGAAGGUAAGGAGUGCAAAAUGAUGUCAAUUGCCAACUCCUCAGGGAAGUUCACAUUCAGUUUCAACAAACGGUACACAUACCUUUACAUUUUCUGCAUAUGGCCCAUGAUGGGUUCACCAUCCUUCAUUCAGGUUGUUCUCAUGGAGGAGAUGAUUUCAUAUCGGUCUUGACAAGCACUCUGAUGGUAGCGGUCCAUCAAAUCCUGUUGCAUCUCAAAAGGAUAGUAGUCCUUAUAGGACUUUUGGAGUUCGGCUGUCAUAGUAGCCAACAUGAUACAUGUUACUUUUGUAGCAUCUCUUUCAUGUGCCUGAUAUUCAGCGAUCUCCUCAGGAGUAGCAGACAACUCAAGUUCCUUAAGCUCCUUGUCGAGGAUAUAUUCCUUGUCCUCAUAGCGAGUGACCAUCCUGAUGGUCCUGAUCCAAUCCAUAAAGUGGGAUCCAUCAAAGAUGACUCUCCCACAAAAUUCAUGAGAGAGAAUAAGCCAGUAGGGUUUGAGCCAGAAGCAGCAUUGUUGGAAGACAUCUGAAAACAAGAAAGACAAGUUUAGAUUAGAUAUAAAGAUAGUCCUUAAUAAAACACUCACAUGUAAUAUUAAGGCUAGGACCCAACACAAUAUUUUAUAACUUAGAAGAGGGAUGUCGUAAUCCAAACUAUAAAAUAUUUGAAGGUAGGUGAAUGACGAAUCACAAAUUUUCACCAUGAAAAAUGAAAUAAAUUUUUAGAUUUUUUAUUGGUUUUGAAACUCCUAGAUUCUUUGAGAUUCAUUGAACUUUUCAAUGACAUGUUUCAAUCUCGAGUGUGCCCUUCAGGUUUUGUGACUAAGAUGUCGAGGAUCACAAAACAAGGUGUGAAGUAACCAUGCGAAUUACUUGGUACCAUUAAUGUUUAACACUCAAUUGAUGUGUUGGACCCUCUACCGAUCAAGGAAGCGGUGGGUGAGAGUGGACACCCAUUAAGUUGCCAUUUUAUAGGCAGCAACCUUAUACCCCCCCCCCCCCUUAUAGACCGACUUCAUGAAUGAGGACUACUAACAAUAAAACGACUUUCUCUUAUACAUAUAUGAAUAUUAUUAAACUUAUAAUAUUAUAAGUAUAAGGGUUGAAUAUUAACUUUUAAAAUUCUAGGGGUUGGAACUAAAGUUUUUAAAGUGAGUUUACAUGUUCCAAAACUUGAUGGCAAGUUUUGUAACUUUCAAAACUUUUCAUCUUUCAUAACUUAUGAGUUAGUGGUUUAUUAAAAUGAGAGACUUUUCAUUUUAUGUAACCUAUAUGUUUCGUUAAUGAAAUUCACAAAGAAUGACUUUUGGUAAUCCAUAACUUGAGGACAAAUUAUGGAUUCCAUUAAAACACAUAAUGAUCAAGAAUUAAACUAACAAGCAAGUUACAAAUAAUUCCUAUGAUCUUCUAAACUCAUAAGUUCAUGAACAUGCAUAUCAACAAUUUCAAGAAUCCUAAAUUAACCAUAUAAAACUUGAAAUUUUUAUAAUAGCUAUUGAAAAUGGAUUAACAUAACCAUUACACCAUCUAAAACAACUUUUAUAACACCAAAACAGUUUAGGGUAAUGUUUCAAGUCCAGUUCCAGCAGCAAAACUCGAAAAUCUACAUUCUGGGGCUCCUUCUCGUCGAGUGCACGAACCUACUCAACGAGUAGGAUGAAUUUACUCGAGGACUCAUCGGGUCCCCUCAUGGACUCGGCGAGUUCAUGCUGCAGAAUGCAGAAAACUUGAGUUUUUUCAACAAUUUGCAUCAAGUAUCAAAUAAACAAGCCUAGGCUCUGAUACCACUGAAGGGUUUUGAGCAUUCUAACACUCCUAAGGUGUACAUGCAACCCUAGAAACCUUGGAUCUAUGUUUUGCUAUGAUACAUGCAAAACUGAUUUUCUAAGGUUCUUAACAUACCUAGCAUAGCAUGGGGAUCUUUUAAACAUAAAUGCUAGAAGAAGAACAUACCUUUUGUUGUUUGGAUUCCUUGAGAACCUUGUGAGCCUAGCACCUCAAGAGUGAUGCCUCAAAUGUAUCACACAACACUUGGAAUAACCUUGAGACAAGUUCACUAACACCUCAAAAUCUGCUAGCCCUCAAUCUUGUAAAAGUAGUGUCGAGUUUGCUAGACUAAGGGUCUUUAUAUAGUUGUGGCACAAGUAGGGUUACACCAUGUAAACCCUAAUUGUCAUGGCUUUCCAUAUUCCAUGAUCUAUGGGUUGUAACCUCAAUGGAUUAUCCAUGGAGCACCUUAUGGGUUUUAACCUAAUCCAUACAAACCAUGGAUCAUUAGCCCACUAUACAAGAAUAGAUGAUUUACACAAUCAACCCCAUAUAUUUAAUUAGUCUCUUUUUUAUCACUU